rnacentral:rRNA from 1 species
GACGAACGCUGGCGGCGUGCCUAACACAUGCAAGUCGAACGGCAACGCGCUUCUUUGCAGCUGCUGGCGAGUGGCGCACGGGUGUGUAACACAUCGGAUCAUUUCCUUUAUUUGGGGUUAGCCCGGCGAAAGCGGGAUUAUAACCGCAAACGAUCUACGGCUGGAAGCGUGGGGGAUUCAUGACUUGCGCUAUAGGGUUGGCACAUGGCGGAUUAGCUUGUUGGUGGGGUAAGGGCCUACCAAGGCGACGAUCGGUAGCUGGUCUGAGAGGGUGGCCAGCCACACGGGGAGUGAGACACGGCCGUGACUCCUACGGGAGGCAGCAGUCGGGAAUGUUGGGCAAUGGGGGAGAGCGUGAUACAGCAGUACGGCGUGUGUGGCGACGGCGUGCGGGUUGUAAAGCACUUCUGGCCGGAAAGAAAUCCUUGGCACUAAUACGGUCGGGGGAUGACGGUACCGGAAGAAGAAGCACCGGCUAACUACGUG